rnacentral:rRNA from 1 species
AUUGAACGCUGGCGGCAUGCUUUACACAUGCAAGUCGAACGGUAACAGGCCGCAAGGUGCUGACGAGUGGCGAACGGGUGAGUAACGCAUCGGAACGUGCCCAGUCGUGGGGGAUAACGCAGCGAAAGCUGCGCUAAUACCGCAUACGAUCUAUGGAUGAAAGCGGGGGACCGUAAGGCCUCGCGCGAUUGGAGCGGCCGAUGUCAGAUGAGGUAGUUGGUGGGGUAAGGGCUCACCAAGCCAUCGAUCUGUAGCUGGUCUGAGAGGACGACCAGCCACACUGGGACUGAGACACGGCCCAGACUCCUACGGGAGGCAGCAGUGGGGAAUUUUGGACAAUGGGCGCAAGCCUGAUCCAGCAAUGCCGCGUGCAGGAAGAAGGCCUUCGGGUUGUAAACUGCUUUUGUACGGAACGAAACGGUCCUGGUUAAUACCCGGGGCUAAUGACGGUACCGUAAGAAUAAGCACCGGCUAACUACGUGCCAGCCGCCGCCGUAACAC